rfam:Zootermopsis nevadensis contig33100, whole genome shotgun sequence.
AAAACGGCCCUUUUGAGGGCCACACUUUCUCUCGAAUGGGUUUGGU